rnacentral:ncRNA from 1 species
UUCACUUAGCCGCCGGGUUAGGUGACAGAGUGCCUUUGAGCCAUAUCGUUAGGCCUUAGAAGAUAUGGACUUAUGGCACUUUUAUUU